rnacentral:rRNA from 1 species
GACGAACGCUGGCGGCGUGCCUAACACAUGCAAGUCGAGCGAGUGAAUCUCCUUCGGGAGUGAAGCUAGCGGCGGACGGGUGAGUAACACGUGGGCAACCUGCCUCAUAGAGGGGAAUAGCCUUUCGAAAGGAAGAUUAAUACCGCAUAAGAUUGUAGCUUCGCAUGAAGUAGCAAUUAAAGGAGCAAUCCGCUAUGAGAUGGGCCCGCGGCGCAUUAGCUAGUUGGUGAGGUAACGGCUCACCAAGGCGACGAUGCGUAGCCGACCUGAGAGGGUGAUCGGCCACAUUGGGACUGAGACACGGCCCAGACUCCUACUGGAGGCAGCAGUGGGGAAUACUGCACAAUGGGGGAAACCCUGAUGCAGCAACGCCGCGUGAGUGAUGACGGCCUUCGGGUUGUAAAGCUCUGUCUUCAGGGACGAUAAUGACGGUACCUGAGGAGGAAGCCACGGCUAACUACGUGCCAGCCGCCGCCGUAA